UUGGGAAUUUUGCGCAAUGGACGAAAGUCUGACGCAGCAACGUCGCGUGCAGGAAGACGCACCUCGGUGUGUAAACUGCUUUUAUUUGGGAAUAAUUUUUGAAGGUACCUUAUGAAUAAGCACCGGCUAACCUCGUGCCAGCAGCCGCGGUAAUACGAGGGGUGCAAACGUUGUCCGGAAUUACUGGGCGUAAAGAGCGCGUAGGCGGUCUGAUCCGUCGUUUAUGAAAGACCAAGGCUUAACCUUGGGAACGUGGACGAUACAGUCAGACUUGAGUAAGGCAGAGGCACAUGGAACACUCGGUGGAGGGGUGACAUCCGUUGAUAUCGAGUGGAACACCAAAGGCGAAGGCAGUGUGCUGGGCCUUUACUGACGCUGAGGCGCGAAAGCGUGGGGAGCG
rnacentral:rRNA from 1 species